rnacentral:rRNA from 1 species
AGAACGAACGUUGGCGGCGUGGAUUAGGCAUGCAAGUCGAACGAAUCCCCAGGGGCUUGCUCUUGGGGGGAAGUGGCGAAAGGGGCAGUAAGGCGUGGGUAACCUACCCCGGGGAUCGGGAUAGCCUUCCUAACGGAUGGGUAAUACCGGGCGAUGUAACGAGGAGACAUCUCUUUGUUACGAAAUGAAUUUCGCCUCGGGAGGGGCUCACGUGCUAUUACCUAGUUGGUGAGGUAACGGCUCACCAAGGGAAAGAUGGCUAGCGGGUGUGAGAGCACGACCCGCGCCACUGGCACUGCGACACUGGCCAGACUCCUACGGGAGGCUGCAGUCGAGGAUCUUCGGCAAUGGGCGCAAGCCUGACCGAGCGACGCCGCGUGCGCGAUGAAGGCCUUCGGGUUGUAAAGCGCUGUCGAGGGGAGGAAGCUCCGUAAGGGGUUGACCUAUCCCUGGAGGAAGCACGGGCUAAGUUCGCGCCAGCAGCCGC